CCCAGACUCCUACGGGAGGCAGCAGUGAGGAAUAUUGGUCAAUGGGCGGAAGCCUGAACCAGCCAAGUCGCGUGAGGGAAUAAGGCCCUACGGGUCGUAAACCUCCUUUGCCGGGGAGCAAGGGCGGGGACGUGUCCCGGCCCGGAGAGUACCCGGAGAAAAAGCAUCGGCUAACUCCGUGCCAGCAGCCGCGGUAAUACGGAGGAUGCGAGCGUUAUCCGGAUUUAUUGGGUUUAAAGGGUGCGUAGGCGGGCUUUUAAGUCAGCGGUAAAAAUUCGGGGCUCAACCCCGUCCGGCCGUUGAAACUGGCGUUCUUGAGUGAGCGAGAAGUAUGCGGAAUGCGUGGUGUAGCGGUGAAAUGCAUAGAUAUCACGCAGAACUCCGAUUGCGAAGGCAGCAUACCGGCGCUCAACUGACGCUCAUGCACGAAAGCGUGGGUAUCGAACAGGAUUAGAUACCCUAGUA
rnacentral:rRNA from 1 species